CCGUCGAUAGCUCAGUUGGUAGAGCGGGAGACUGUAGAGGACAUUCACUGACAUCUCUAGGUCGGCUGGUUCGAAUCCGGCUCGACGGA
rnacentral:tRNA from 1 species